rnacentral:rRNA from 1 species
UACGAAGGGGGCUAGCGUGGUUCGGAAUUACUGGGCGUAAAGCGCACGUAGGCGGAAUGUUAAGUCAGGGGUGAAAUCCCGGGGCUCAACCCCGGAACUGCCUUUGAUACUGGCAUUCUCGAGUCCGGAAGAGGUGAGUGGAAUUCCGAGUGUAGAGGUGAAAUUCGUAGAUAUUCGGAGGAACACCAGUGGCGAAGGCGGCUCACUGGUCCGGUACUGACGCUGAGGUGCGAAAGCGUGGGGAGCAAACAGG